AUUGAACGCUGGCGGCAGGCCUAACACAUGCAAGUCGAGCGAAGUCUUCGGACUUAGCGGCGGACGGGUGAGUAACGCGUGGGAACGUACCCUUUGGUUCGGAAUAGCCCCGGGAAACUGGGAGUAAUACCGGAUGAGCUCUACGGAGGAAAGAUUUAUCGCCAAAGGAUCGGCCCGCGUUGGAUUAGGUAGUUGGUGGGGUAAUGGCCUACCAAGCCGACGAUCCAUAGCUGGUUUGAGAGGAUGAUCAGCCACACUGGGACUGAGACACGGCCCAGACUCCUACGGGAGGCAGCAGUGGGGAAUCUUAGACAAUGGGGGAAACCCUGAUCUAGCCAUGCCGCGUGAUCGAUGAAGGCCUUAGGGUUGUAAAGAUCUUUCAGUGGGGAAGAUAAUGACUGUACCCACAGAAGAAGCCCCGGCUAACUCCGUGCCAGCAGCCGCGGUAACAC
rnacentral:rRNA from 1 species